AGCACGUUAGUUCCAAAUCCCAAACAAGUUAACUAACCAAAACACGUUCUGAUCUUUACCCCCAAACAAGUUCCAUUUCCGAUCGACGCGCCUCUACCUCACCGUCGCCAUCGCCACCCCUCGUCUCAACGCCAGAACCCUGCCGUUGCCGGAUCAGUCGAUCGUCGCCGUCCGUCGCCGAAAACCCCUCCCCUUCCCCUUCCCAUGUUAAGGGUCUAGCUGAAAUUUUGACGUUUAGGGUUCGAGUUCUGUGGGAGAUUGGACAAGUGAGGCUGCUCGUGAAGGAGGACUCCGAGGUGAGGACGACGCUCGCGACAACCUCGGCAUUGGCAAUGACAUGUUCUGGCUCUAGUUGAAGAACAAAACAUUCCAGAGGCAAAAAUGCAAGAGAAAUCAAUAGAACCAUUAGGGAGACAGGAUGAGUAGGUUAAGUUCUAUUGUUGGAAUUUUGUUCUAUUACUAGAUUUUUAUUGGCUUUGGUCACAAUAUAAUAUUGUCUUUUUGAGCAGAGCCCAGCGACACACUUAACUCCAUCUCAAGGACAUUGGGUUAGAAUUUUCUUGGUCUAUUGGUAGAAUUAAAGAAGCACUUUCAGAAUUAAAUGGUAUCGACUGUUCAACCCCCACGACGUGCUCCAGAAAAUUUGCAGAAUCAAUUUCUGCUCUAGUUGAAGAACAAAACAUUCCAGAGGCAAAAAUUGCACUUGCAUCUGGAGUUUCAGCUAAGAACACCGACAAGAAGAACAAGGAUGUCAAACUAAAGUCUGGGGUGGGUAAGAUUUUAGGGGGUUGUUGCUUUUGGUAGGUGGGGACUUCUGUUGUUGCUUUAGCUUUGAUUUUGCUUGACUAAGGGCUGAGUUGGAUUCUCCCUUGUGUGAGGAAGGUUGAGAAUGAGAUUAAUUUUCUGGUAUUCCUGGAUAGUGGGCAGUGCUGGUUGGUGUUUGGUUCUUAUGAUAUGUAGUCCUUAUCCUUCAUUACAUUGAGUUCUUCAGGGUUGUUCAGAUUCUGGUCUUUGCAAACAAAGUGAAUUUUGUUUGCCUUCUUAAAAUUCUUGCGUGAAAGACUACAUUGGGAGGAGAA